UGCUCGCAGUGGCUGUCGUCAGCUCGUGUCGUGAGAGUGUUGGGUUAACGUCCCGACACGAGCGCAACCUUGCCUUUAGUUGCCAGCAGUUCGGCUGGGCACUCUAAAGGGACUGCCGGUGUUAAACCGGAGGAAGGUGGGGAUGACGUCAAGUCCUCAUGGCCUUUAUGACCAGGGCUACACACGUACUACAAUGGCCGAUACAAAGGGCAGCGACACUGCGAGGUGAAGCCAAUCCCGUAAAAUCGGUCUCAGUCCGGAUUGGAGUCUGCAACUCGACUCCAUGAAGUUGGAAUCGCUAGUAAUCGUGGAUCAGCAUGCCACGGUGAAUACGUUCCCGGGCCUU
rnacentral:rRNA from 1 species